GGCUGUGGCCUAAAAAUAGUCUUGAAAACUAGCGAAGGUGCAAGCCUUCCGUGGGUUCGAAUCCCACCCUUUCCGCCA
rnacentral:tRNA from 1 species